GUCAGCCUUAUUUGCACAGUGGCCAGUUUACAAAUCUGAGCAGCUGCAGCAGAGCUUGGAAAUGUGGCUGGUGAAAUGGUGCCAACUGGUGUGCACUGCCUUGUAAAUACAGCUAAUAAUUUUAAUGUACGUUUUAUGCGGAGCCGUGUUAUAACAACCCAUGUGUCUUAAGAGUGGAAACCCUGUGGGCCGUCCAGACUUGCUUCUUUGACAGGCGUAUGCAUUUAACCCUAGGACAUAGCAUGGCGAGGUCAAAAUAGACUUGCAUUGUUCAGUUGUGACUCAUGCAAUCCCCAGACCAUCAUUCUGACGGUAGCUCAUUGUUAACUGUGAACACUCGUCUGGCUAUGCUUAUACAUUGUUCAGCAUGGCAUCAAAAAGGUAGCCUUUCACCCAAAGGAUUGCUCAAUAGGUUGGAGUGAUUGCAAAGCAAACUUGGAGCAGGCAAAGAGGGUGUUAGUGCGCUUUCACUUCAGGCUUGUACAUUAUGUUUAAAGUUUGCCUAGAAGUUGGGCUUGAUAGCGAGCAAGGUCAAUAUCGCUGCCUCAUGGUGCUAGCUGUUUAAAUGCUUGUCUGCAUAAAAAUAUCACAUUCAGCUCUAAUGCAUUCUUGUUAAGACAUGUGCUCUAUCAGGCACACUUGGGACAUCUUCAACCAGUCAUUCCAGAGCGCUCUAGCAGUGCUACAAAUGUCGUGUAGGGUAACAACUAAGCUUUAUUGCAAGUGGGCUCCAAUGGUGAUAAUGAUCACUAUUAUUAUGAUACAGCUUACAUGAAUGUUGCAGCUCUACCAGAGUUCUCUUAACCAGUUGAAGAUGCUACUGGAACAUGUGAAGCUCCACUUAAGAUACUUGUUAUUAUUUUUGUGGAAGCGCGAUGUUCCAGUUGGGACAUAUUUUAAUGUGGUGCUUUCAGGGUGUGGGGACGAUCCUCUCUGUCUAUUGCCAGGAAACCUUUGUUUUAGUUCACGGAUCUUGCAUCUGCAUUCCAAUCCUGUUUUUUAAUUAGGCCACCUGGCUUAGCGUGCCAUACUUAAGUCAACCAGAGGUUUGAUGCAUCUUUGUUCGCACAUACAUUGUUUCUGGCCAGGCCUUGCAGUAGCUGUGUACAUAUGUCCUCAAUUAUCCGUUUUCCUGUUGCUUUCUUUUUAGCUCUCUAGCACAGAAAACAGUUGAUGUUACAUUCAGUGUUUCCUUUCUCACGCUAUCCUCUUGUGUCAUCCUGCUGCGCCAUAAGUACGCAAGCUUGUUAGUUGUGUACAGGACCGGUGUUGGGAGUUCUUGGAUAUCAAUGCCAUGCAAUGUGCAUCAGGUCCAGGGUAACAGCACUGUGUUGAUAGUAGCGUGAAGACUUGUGCAUCGCUGUCUGUCCAUGAACUGGAGGCAGACCAUGAGCUGUUGUAAAUACUAUGAAGGCUAUUUUUCCAGGCUUUUCUUUGUACUAAUGUGUUACUGUGUAAAUACUGUGCUAGAUACUUGAGCUAAUGGUUCGCUUGUAUGGUGCAUUCUUUUUACGCUGUUGUAUAGGGGAAGCCAUUAAUCCCGAGUCAAGGCAAGCUUUCAUUUAUGUGACAACCCUUUUCUGCAUUUUCUUUCUUUGAAGACCAUGCCGGGUUUUGAUGCACUUUUGUGCAUGCUUUGGGAACCGUAACAUUAAGCCAAACUGCAUUCGCAAUUCUGCCCAAACAGCUUCGUCAUCAAAAGUUGGCGAUGGAAAAACCUGGAAAAGGUUUUCUUCAACUCCAUCAUGGAUGCAAAACGAGGUCUAAUGAUUUAGUGUGCUGUACUAUAAUGACGAUUAAAUUCAUUUUCUUUUCUAAUAA